rnacentral:rRNA from 1 species
UUAAGCGACUAAGCGUACACGGUGGAUGCCCGGCAGUCAGAGGCGAUGAAGGACGUGCUAAUCUGCGAUAAGCGUCGGUGAGGUGAUAUGAACCGUUAUAACCGGCGAUUUCCGAAUGGGGAAACCCAGUGUGUUUCGACACACUAUCAUUAACUGAAUCCAUAGGUUAAUGAGGCGAACCGGGGAACUGAAACAUCUAAGUACCCCGAGGAAAAGAAAUCAACCGAGAUUCCCCAGUAGCGGCGAGCGAACGGGGAGGAGCCCAGAGCCUGAAUCAGUGUGUGUGUUAGUGGAAGCGUCUGGAAAGGCGUGCGAUACAGGGUGACAGCCCGUACACAAAAUGCACAUAUUGUGAGCUCGAUGAGUAGGGCGGGACACGUGGUAUCCUGUCUGAAUAUGGGGGACCAUCCUCCAAGGCUAAAUACUCCUGACUGACCGAUAGUGAACCAGUACCGUGAGGGAAAGGCGAAAAGAACCCGGCGAGGGGAGUGAAAAAGAACCUGAAACCGUGUACGUACAAGCAGUGGGAGCCUCUUUAUGGGGUGACUGCGUACCUUUGUAUAAUGGGUCAGCGACUUAUAUUCUGUAGCAAGGUUAACCGAAUAGGGGAGCCGAAGGAAACCGAGUCUUAACUGGGCGUUAAGUUGCAGGGUAUAGACCCGAAACCCGGUGAUCUAGCCAUGGGCAGGUUGAAGGUUGGGUAACACUAACUGGAGGACCGAACCGACUAAUGUUGAAAAAUUAGCGGAUGACUUGUGGCUGGGGUGAAAGGCCAAUCAAACCGGGAGAUAGCUGGUUCUCCCGAAAGCUAUUUAGGUAGCGCCUCGUGAAUUCAUCUCCGGGGUAGAGCACUGUUUCGGCAAGGGGUCAUCCCGACUUACCAACCCGAUGCAAACUGCGAAUACCGGAGAAUGUUAUCACGGGAGACACACGGCGGGUGCUAACGUCCGUCGUGAAAGGAAACAACCCAGACCGCCAGCUAAGGUCCCAAAGUCAUGGUUAAGUGGGAAACGAUGUGGGAAGGCCCAGACAGCCGGGAUGUUGGCUUAGAAGCAGCCAUCAUUUAAAGAAAGCGUAAUAGCUCACUGGUCGAGUCGGCCUGCGCGGAAGAUGUAACGGGGCUAAACCAUGCACCGAAGCUGCGGCAGCGACACUAUGUGUUGUUGGGUAGGGGAGCGUUCUGUAAGCCUGUGAAGGUGGCCUGUGAGGGUUGCUGGAGGUAUCAGAAGUGCGAAUGCUGACAUAAGUAACGAUAAAGCGGGUGAAAAGCCCGCUCGCCGGAAGACCAAGGGUUCCUGUCCAACGUUAAUCGGGGCAGGGUGAGUCGACUAAGGCGAGGCCGAAAGGCGUAGUCGAUGGGAAACAGGUUAAUAUUCCUGUACUUGGUGUUACUGCGAAGGGGACGGAAGGCUAUGUUGGCCGGGCGACGGUUGUCCCGGUUUAAGCGUGUAGGCUGGUUUUCCGGGCAAAUCCGGAAAACCAAGGCUGAGGCGUGAUGACGAGGCACUACGGUGCUGAAGCGACAAAUGCCCUGCUUCCGGGAAAAGCCUCUAAGCAUCAGGUAACAUCAAAUCGUACCCCAAACCGACACAGGUGGUCAGGUAGAGAAUACCAAGGCGCUUGAGAGAACUCGGGUGAAGGAACUAGGCAAAAUGGUGCCGUAACUUCGGGAGAAGGCACGCUGAUAUGUAGGUGAAGCGACUUGCUCGUGGAGCUGAAAUCAGUCGAAGAUACCAGCUGGCUGCAACUGUUUAUUAAAACACAGCACUGUGCAAACACGAAAGUGGACGUAUACGGUGUGACGCCUGCCCGGUGCCGGAAGGUUAAUUGAUGGGGUUAGCGGUAACGCGAAGCUCUUGAUCGAAGCCCGGUAAACGGCAGUAGUAACUAUAACGGUCCUAAGGUAGCGAAAUUCCUUGUCGGGUAAGUUCCGACCUGCACGAAUGGCGUAAUGAUGGCGGGCUGUCUCCACCCGAGACUCAGUGAAAUUGAACUCGCUGUGAAGAUGCAGUGUACCCGCGGCAAGACGGAAAGACCCCGUGAACCUUUACUAUAGCUUGACACUGAACAUUGAGCCUUGAUGUGUAGGAUAGGUGGGAGGCUUUGAAGUGUGGACGCCAGUCUGCAUGGAGCCGACCUUGAAAUACCACCCUUUAAUGUUUGAUGUUCUAACGUUGGCCCGUAAUCCGGGUUGCGGACAGUGUCUGGUGGGUAGUUUGACUGGGGCGGUCUCCUCCUAAAGAGUAACGGAGGAGCACGAAGGUUGGCUAAUCUGGUCGGACAUCAGGAGGUUAGUGCAAUGGCAUAAGCCAGCUUGACUGCGAGCGUGACGGCGCGAGCAGGUGCGAAAGCAGGUCAUAGUGAUCCGGUGGUUCUGAAUGGAAGGGCCAUCGCUCAACGGAUAAAAGGUACUCCGGGGAUAACAGGCUGAUACCGCCCAAGAGUUCAUAUCGACGGCGGUGUUUGGCACCUCGAUGUCGGCUCAUCACAUCCUGGGGCUGAAGUAGGUCCCAAGGGUAUGGCUGUUCGCCAUUUAAAGUGGUACGCGAGCUGGGUUUAGAACGUCGUGAGACAGUUCGGUCCCUAUCUGCCGUGGGCGCUGGAGAACUGAGGGGGCUGCUCCUAGUACGAGAGGACCGGAGUGGACGCAUCACUGGUGUUCGGGUUGUCAUGCCAAUGGCACUGCCCGGUAGCUAAAUGCGGAAGAGAUAAGUGCUGAAAGCAUCUAAGCACGAAACUUGCCCCGAGAUGAGUUCUCCUGACUCCUUGAGAGUCCUGAAGGAACGUUGAAGACGACGACGUUGAUAGGCCGGGUGUGUAAGCGCAGCGAUGCGUUGAGCUAACCGGUACUAAUGAACCGUGAGGCUUAACCUU